GACGAACGCUGGCGGCGUGCCUAAUACAUGCAAGUUGAGCGCUGAAGGUUGGUACUUGUACCUACUGGAUGAGCAGCGCACGGGUGAGUAACGCGUGGGGAAUCUGCCUUUGAGCGGGGGACAACAUCUGGAAACGAAUGCUAAUACCGCAUAAAAACUUUAAACACAAGUUUUAAGUUUGAAAGAUGCAAUUGCAUCACUCAAAGAUGAUCCCACGUUGUAUUAGCUAGUUGGUGAGGUAAAGGCUCACCAAGGCGAUGAUACAUAGCCGACCUGAGAGGGUGGUCGGCCACAAUGGGACGGGGACACGGCCCAAACUCCUACGGGAGGCAGCAGGAGGGGAGCUUCGGGAAUGGACGGAAGGCUGACCGAGCAACGCCGCGGGAGUGAAGAAGGGUUUCGGGUCGUAAAACUCUGUUGGUAGAGAAGAACGUUGGUGAGAGUGGAAAGCUCAUCAAGUGACGGUAACUACCCAGAAAGGGACGGCUAACUACGUG
rnacentral:rRNA from 1 species